ACUUAAUCCUCCACUAAGUAGGCCUGACCUGGGAGGCUUGGCCACAGGGGUGUCGUCUCCUUGAAAUGGGAUAAACCAUCCCAGCUCCUCUGCUCCUAAGCAGUGCUCAAAUGCGUACCGUAGCCUGCCACCCAAACCCUGGCUGAAAAGCACUGAAGAUACUGGGGCUUUGGGCAGUUUUCCCACGCUGACCCGGUUGGGGUCGCCGAAGCUCUCUGGCCAGCUUGGUCUGCCCCUGGGUGCUCUACACAGGCUGACCGAAGCUCCGCAGCACCCUUCCCAACCACGCCGCCGAUGACCUGGCGAGGAACCCCCUGUUCUCGGCGUUCCGGGAGACUCCCCCGCGGGACUGUGAUGGGGGUAAGCUCCCCAACACUAGGUAUGAAGCCAGCCCAACCACGAUCUUCCACUCCUGAGUCACUGAGGCGCCAGACCCGGCGACCAGCCAAGGGCUCUGACACACCAGCACGUGGGAAAAUACCCCGUGGCCCACCCGUGUCCACUCCACAGAGCCUGGGCUGGUGAGAGGUCUGCCAAGUGAAGGAAUAAAGGAUUUUCAACCGUG